rnacentral:lncRNA from 1 species
AUUCUGCGUUUCCGAAAAUGGUCCCCGCGACGCCUCGACGCCCCGAGGUGCCUGGGUACUAGGCUUCCGGCGGCCGCCCUCCUGAAACGGCGCGAAACGGGGCGUCGCCCGCGCCGCACGUGGCAGGCACGUCACAGGGCCCCAAGGGCCGGAGCAGCAGAGUCCCCCUGGGGCCACCGCGGCCCCUCCGCCCUUCUGGCCUCUGCUUGCGACCCCCGCGGCGGCCUGGAGGGCCCUCACGAGAAAACGGUUCGGAGGCCGCGGGCUCACGGGGCAUCUUGUUCAAACGAAAAGAGCGAGAACAGGGGCUUGGCGCCCGUUUGGAGGCCUCCAAACCGGCCAAUCGGCCCGAGGCGACACCGUGACCGACCGGGACUAGAGGAAGCCGCGGGAGUCCGCGCGGGAUUUUCCUUCCGAGGGGCGGUUCGAAGGCCUGUGCGUCCACGACCUGCUUUCGCCGGUCUGCCCGCGAGCGCCCCCACGCGGCAGGGCCCAGAUGCAGGGUCGGCGGGUCGAUAUCCAUCACCGCCCACGGAUGCUUCAUUGACUCUGGGCUUGGCCAUGUGA